GUCUAUGGCCAUACCACCCUGAAUGCACCCGAUCUCAUCUGAUCUCAGAAGCUAAGCAGGAUCGGGCCUGGUUAGUACUUGGAUGGGAGACAAAUGGUGAUUCUUCUUAUGGGUAUGAACA
rnacentral:rRNA from 1 species